rnacentral:sRNA from 1 species
GAAUAAAAGGCCCUUCUACCGGUGCUGAACCUCCUACCUCAAUGUUACUUUUUGCCUCUGCUUCGAGGCGGGCCUCCCUUUCGGCGCGCCCCUCACCGGGCCGCCGUCCCCUUCCCCGUCCCUGCCGGCCGCGCCAAACUCAAAAUAUAAAAAAGCUUACUGCACGUUAUAAUUCAUAAGGGUAAACGAGUCAAAACUUUUAACAACGCAUCUCUUGGAUCUAGCAUCGAUGAAGAACACAUCGAAAUGCUCAUAAGUAAUGUGAAUUGCCGAUUUCCGUGCAAUCAUCGAAUCUUUUAACGCCCAUUGCGCCCGGCAGCAAUCUGCCGGGCAUCCCUGUCCGAGCGUCAUUUCUUCCCUCGAGCGCGGCUACCCCUACCGGGCCUGCCGUCCCCCGGUGUUCGGCUUCUACAGAUGGCGCUCGUCCCCCCCCCAGUCCCCGAAAUGUAGUGCCAGCCCACCCGUGUCACCCCCUUCUUAGUAGAUGCCACAUCUCGCACCGGGGGCGGGCAAACGCCAGCCGUCGAAACUUUUAUUUAAUGCUAUAACCUCAAAUCACAUAAAUUUACCCACUGAACAGAACAGAGCAACAAACACAACAACCAACCCCACCACACAAACAA